AUGUGACUUGUGGGGUUCCCUUUGUCAUCCUUCGCCUAGGGCUCUGAGCAGGGCAGGGACAGCAAAGGGGUGCUCAGUUGUCACUUCC
rnacentral:pre_miRNA from 1 species